rnacentral:rRNA from 1 species
GACGAACGCUGGCGGCGUGCUUAACACAUGCAAGUCGAACGGAAAGGCCCUGCUUUUGUGGGGUGCUCGAGUGGCGAACGGGUGAGUAACACGUGAGUAACCUGCCCUUGACUUUGGGAUAACUUCAGGAAACUGGGGCUCAUACCGGAUAGGAGCUCCUGCUGCAUGGUGGUGGUUGGAAAGUUUCGGCGGUUGGGGAUGGACUCGCGGCUUAUCAGCUUGUUGGUGGGGUAGUGGCUUACCAAGGCUUUGACGGGUAGCCGGCCUGAGAGGGUGACCGGCCACAUUGGGACUGAGAUACGGCCCAGACUCCUACGGGAGGCAGCAGUGGGGAAUAUUGCACAAUGGGCGGAAGCCUGAUGCAGCAACGCCGCGUGCGGGAUGACGGCCUUCGGGUUGUAAACCGCUUUCGCCUGUGACGAAGCGUGAGUGACGGUAAUGGGUAAAGAAGCACCGGCUAACUACGUG